rnacentral:rRNA from 1 species
UACGUAGGGCGCAAGCGUUGUCCGGAAUUAUUGGGCGUAAAGAGCUCGUAGGCGGUCUGUCGCGUCGGAUGUGAAAGCCCGGGGCUUAACCCCGGGUCUGCAUUCGAUACGGGCAGACUAGAGUGUGGUAGGGGAGAUCGGAAUUCCUGGUGUAGCGGUGGAAUGCGCAGAUAUCAGGAGGAACACCGGUGGCGAAGGCGGGUCUCUGGGCAGUAACUGACGCUGAGGAGCGAAAGCGUGGGGAGCGAACAGG